CCAGGCUUUGUUACCACCCGAGUGUGCAGAAGGACACGAGCCCUGAGCGUGUGCCACCUCAUGCCUCUAUUACAUACUCUUGCAUUUUCCGCACUCCACUUUCUGGGGUCCAUCCCUGGAUGGAGGACAGAAAAGCCAGAGGAAAGCCCGGCUGCCCGGGGCUCGCUGCCCAUACACAGAGCUGAGCUGCUGCGCUCCUGCAGGCGUGCGUGUUUGGAGUAUGUGGAUUGCACUCUCUGCAUUAGCAGGUAAAAGAAGCCUGAAGAUACCCAGUCUUGGCUGUGUAAGCUCCACAUUCAUCAGGGACUCAGGAGCUGCUAUUUUCCUGCCUCCCUGUGGCUUCCGUUUCUGAGGUUUCCAAAUGCCUGCUUCUGUUGCUCCUCAGUCCCGCAGGAAGGAGCCGGGAGCCAGAGGAAGAAGGUGCUCUAGACACAUCCAGAAUCCUGAGACAGUCUUCCUGGAGGUUCCAUAAAGCGCAUCUGUUUAAAUCUCAUUGUCCAGAACUCAGCCAUGUGCUGGGAGGCUGGGAUUAUAGUCAUUUAUUUGGGAUCAAUGCUCCACUGAAUAAAACUGGGUUUUACUAUCCAUGGAAGUAAACGAAGAAUACUGGGUAGACAGUCAGAAAAUGUAUUGCUUUAUAUAACUGAAUAUUUCAAGGGUUAUCAAUGGCUUCAGGUAGAGUUUGAUCAAGCUGAUGUCAUCAUUCAGACUUUUGUCCUGCUUCUCAGAGAUUCUCCGGCUCAUCCUCCUCAUGCAUUGUUUCUAACCACAGACUGGGUUUCCCUAGGAUGACAGAGGCGGCCUCAGCAUUCCAUGAUGUUGUGUCCUUAGACGCCACCAAAGAGAGAGAGAUUCUUUCUGAGAUCUCUCACAGCACAGAGAAAAUAUCUUCUUCCCAGACCCCUAGCAAAAGAUAUCUUCUCCAUGGUUAAACAGGCCACCUUGGACUAUAUACUUCUAAAAGGAGUGGCAUGGAUACCUUCCAUGCA